rnacentral:tRNA from 1 species
GCACUCGUAGCUCAGCCAGACAGAGCGUCGGUUUUGUAACCCGAACGUCGGAAGUUCAAAUCCUCCCAAGUGCA